UCCGGUUUGUCACCGGCAGUCUCCCUAAAGUGCUCAGCAUUACCUGUUAGCAACUAAGGACAAGGGUUGCGCUCGUUACGGGACUUAACCCAACAUCUCACGACACGAGCUGACGACAGCCAUGCAGCACCUGUCUCUCGGUUCCCGAAGGCACUCCCGUAUCUCUACAGGAUUCCGAGGAUGUCAAGGGCAGGUAAGGUUCUUCGCGUUGCAUCGAAUUAAACCACAUGCUCCACCGCUUGUGCGAGCCCCCGUCAAUUCCUUUGAGUUUUAACCUUGCGGUCGUACUCCCCAGGCGGAGAACUUAUUGCGUUAGCUGCGAUACUCAGAAGUUUAACCUCCCAAACAUCUAGUUCUCAUCGUUUACAGCGUGGACUAC
rnacentral:misc_RNA from 1 species